AUUGAACGCUGGCGGCAGGCCUAACACAUGCAAGUCGAGCGAGCGGCGGACGGGUGAGUAAUGUCUGGGAAACUGCCUGUUGGAGGGGGAUAACUACUGGAAACGGUAGAGAAUACCCCAUAUCAUCAGAUGUGCCCCGGUGGGAUUAGCUAGUGGGGGGGGUAACGGCUCACCUAGGCGACGAUCCCUAGCUGGUCUGAGAGGAUGACCCGCCACACUGGAACGGAGACACGGUCCAGACUCCUACGGGAGGCAGCAGUGGGGAAUAUUGCACAAUGGGCGAAAGCCUGAUGCAGCCAUGCCGCGUGUGUGAAGAAGGCCUUCGGGUUGUAAAGCACUUUCAGCGGGGAGGCGUUACCCGCAGAAGAAGCACCGGCUAACUCCGUGCCAGCAGCCGCGGUAAUAC
rnacentral:rRNA from 1 species